CACGUAGGGUGCGAGCGUUGUCCGGAAUUAUUGGGCGUAAAGAGCUCGUAGGCGGCUUGUCGCGUCGGAUGUGAAAGCCCGGGGCUUAACUCCGGGUCUGCAUUCGAUACGGGCAGGCUAGAGUGUGGUAGGGGAGAUCGGAAUUCCUGGUGUAGCGGUGGAAUGCGCAGAUAUCAGGAGGAACACCAAUGGCGAAGGCAGAUCUCUGGGCCGUAACUGACGCUGAGGAGCGAAAGCAUGGGGAGCGAACAGG
rnacentral:rRNA from 1 species